CCUACGGGGGACAGCAGUGAGGAAUAUUGGUCAAUGGACGAGAGUCUGAACCAGCCAAGUAGCGUGAAGGAUGACUGCCCUAUGGGUUGUAAACUUCUUUUAUAUGGGAAUAAAAUGUUCCACGUGUGGGUUUUUGUAUGUACCAUAUGAAUAAGGAUCGGCUAACUCCGUGCCAGCAGCCGCGGUAAUACGGAGGAUACGAGCGUUAUCCGGAUUUAUUGGGUUUAAAGGGAGCGUAGGUGGAUUGUUAAGUCAGUUGUGAAAGUUUGCGGCUCAACCGUAAAAUUGCAGUUGAAACUGGCAGUCUUGAGUACAGUAGAGGUGGGCGGAAUUCGUGGUGUAGCGGUGAAAUGCUUAGAUAUCACGAAGAACUCCGAUUGCGAAGGCAGCUCACUGGACUGCAACUGACACUGAGGCUCGAAAGUGUGGGUAUCAAACAGGAUUAGAUACCCGUGUAGUC
rnacentral:rRNA from 1 species